rnacentral:rRNA from 1 species
GUGAGGAAUAUUGGUCAAUGGGCGGGAGCCUGAACCAGCCAAGUCGCGUGAAGGAAGAAGGAUCUAUGGUUCGUAAACUUCUUUUGCAGGGGAAUAAAGUGCAGGACGUGUCCUGUUUUGUAUGUACCCUGAGAAUAAGGAUCGGCUAACUCCGUGCCAGCAGCCGCGGUAAUACGGAGGAUCCGAGCGUUAUCCGGAUUUAUUGGGUUUAAAGGGUGCGUAGGUGGUUUGAUAAGUCAGCGGUGAAAGUUUGCAGCUUAACUGUAAAAAUGCCGUUGAAACUGUCGGACUUGAGUGUAAAUGAGGUAGGCGGAAUGCGUGGUGUAGCGGUGAAAUGCAUAGAUAUCACGCAGAACUCCGAUUGCGAAGGCAGCUUACUAAGCUACAACUGACACUGAAGCACGAAAGCGUGGGGAUCAAACAGGAUUAGAAACCGAGUAGUCC